rnacentral:lncRNA from 1 species
UCAUCCACUAGCCACUCCCACGUACCAACUACAUCAGCCGGUCUUUAGCCUCAGCCACCACACCGCCGACCAACCCAGACACCAGCCACGCCACUACAGCCUCUGCCCCGACUAGCUAUCUACUGCCAUUCAACUUGACAGAUCCCCGUAGAAGACAACAACCAAUCGUCUCUUCCAAUCUGCGUAUGCACAACCAACAGCAAAUCGUCGUCUCCAGCAACCACAGCAGACCACCAUGACAAAUACUUGACUUUCUUCACUCAUGGUGUCAUACUGCCUCGAAAUGACAGCCCCUCCGCAC